AUUGAACGCUAGCGGGAUGCUUUACACAUGCAAGUCGAACGCGGGGCGGACGGGUGGGUAAUAUAUCGGAACGUGCCCAGUAGCGGGGGAUAACUACUCGAAAGAGUGGAUAAUCCCGCAUAAUAUUGGAGCGGCCGCUAUCGGAUUAGCUAGUGGGUGGGGUAAAGGCUAACCAAGGCAAAGAACCGUAGCUGGUUUGCGAGGGCGACCAGCCACCCUGGGAUGGAGACACGGCCCAGACUCCUACGGGAGGCAGCAGUGGGGAAUGUUGGACAAUGGGGGAAACCCUGAUCCAGCCAUGCCGCGUGUAUGAGAAGGCCUUCGGGUUGUAAAGUACUUUUGGCAGAGAAGCGGUAUCUACAGAAUAAGCACCGGCUAACUACGUGCCAGCAGCCGCGGUAAUAC
rnacentral:rRNA from 1 species